rnacentral:rRNA from 1 species
GAGGCAGCAGUGAGGAAUAUUGGUCAAUGGACGCAAGUCUGAACCAGCCAUGCCGCGUGCAGGAAGACGGCUCUAUGAGUUGUAAACUGCUUUUGUAUUAGGGUAAACUCAGGUACGUGUACCUGACUGAAAGUAUAAUACGAAUAAGGAUCGGCUAACUCCGUGCCAGCAGCCGCGGUAAUACGGAGGAUCCAAGCGUUAUCCGGAUUUAUUGGGUUUAAAGGGUGCGUAGGCGGUUUGAUAAGUUAGAGGUGAAAUACCGGGGCUUAACUCCGGAACUGCCUCUAAUACUGUUGAACUAGAGAGUAGUUGCGGUAGGCGGAAUGUAUGGUGUAGCGGUGAAAUGCUUAGAGAUCAUACAGAACACCGAUUGCGAAGGCAGCUUACCAAACUAUAUCUGACGUUGAGGCACGAAAGCGUGGGGAGCAAACAGGAUUAGAUACCCUGGUAGUCCACGCAGUAAACCUUGAUAACUCGUUGUCGGCGAUACACAGUCG